rnacentral:rRNA from 1 species
UAGCGUAGGGGGCAAGGCGUUUGUCCGGGAUUUAUUGGGCGUAAAGCGCGUGUAGGCGGCCAGGUAGGUCGGUUGUGAAAAUUGGAGGCUCAACCUCCAGACGUCGAUCGAAACCAUCUGGCUAGAGUCCGGAAGAGGAGAAUGGAAUUCCUGGUGUAGCGGUGAAAUGCGCAGAUAUCAGGAAGAACACCAAUGGCGAAGGCAGUUCUCUGGGACGGUACUGACGCUGAGACGCGAAAGCGUGGGGAGCGAACAGG